rnacentral:rRNA from 1 species
GAUGAACGCUGGCGGCGUGCCUAAUACAUGCAAGUCGAGCGAACGGACGAGAAGCUUGCUUCUCUGAUGUUAGCGGCGGACGGGUGAGUAACACGUGGAUAACCUACCUAUAAGACUGGGAUAACUUCGGGAAACCGUAGCUAAUACCGGAUAAUAUUUUGAACCGCAUGGUUCAAAAGUGAAAGACGGUCUUGCUGUCACUUAUAGAUGGAUCCGCGCUGCAUUAGCUAGUUGGUAAGGUAACGGCUUACCAAGGCAACGAUGCAUAGCCGACCUGAGAGGGUGAUCGGCCACACUGGAACUGAGACAAGGUCCAGACUCCUACGGGAGGCAGCAGUAGGGAAUCUUCCGCAAAGGGCGAAAGCCUGACGGAGCAACGCCGCGUGAGUGAUGAAGGUCUUCGGAUCGUAAAACUCUGUUAUUAGGGAAGAACAUAUGUGUAAGUAACUGUGCACAUCUUGACGGUACCUAAUCAGAAAGCCACGGCUAACUACGUG